rnacentral:rRNA from 1 species
CGGCCACAUUGGGACUGAGACACGGCCCAAACUCCUACGGGAGGCAGCAGUAGGGAAUCUUCCACAAUGGACGCAAGUCUGAUGGAGCAACGCCGCGUGAGUGAAGAAGGCUUUCGGGUCGUAAAACUCUGUUGUUGGAGAAGAAUGGUCGGCAGAGUAACUGUUGUCGGCGUGACGGUAUCCAACCAGAAAGCCACGGCUAACUACGUGCCAGCAGCCGCGGUAAUACGUAGGUGGCAAGCGUUAUCCGGAUUUAUUGGGCGUAAAGCGAGCGCAGGCGGUUUUUUAAGUCUGAUGUGAAAGCCCUCGGCUUAACCGAGGAAGUGCAUCGGAAACUGGAAAACUUGAGUGCAGAAGAGGACAGUGGAACUCCAUGUGUAGCGGUGAAAUGCGUAGAUAUAUGGAAGAACACCAGUGGCGAAGGCGGCUGUCUGGUCUGUAACUGACGCUGAGGCUCG